UUCCCCUAGUAACUGCGAGUGAAAGCGGGAAAAGCUCAAAUUUAAAAUCUGGCGGUCUUUGGCUGUCCGAGUUGUAAUCUAGAGAAGUGUUAUCCGCGCUGGACCGUGUACAAGUCUCCUGGAAUGGAGCGUCAUAGAGGGUGAGAAUCCCGUCUUUGACACGGACUGCCAGGGCUUUGUGAUGCGCUCUCAAAGAGUCGAGUUGUUUGGGAAUGCAGCUCAAAAUGGGUGGUAAAUUCCAUCUAAAGCUAAAUAUUGGCGAGAGACCGAUAGCGAACAAGUACCGUGAGGGAAAGAUGAAAAGAACUUUGGAAAGAGAGUUAAACAGUACGUGAAAUUGCUGAAAGGGAAACGCUUGAAGUCAGUCGCGUUGGCCGGAACUCAACCUUGCUUUUGCUGGGCGUACUUUCCGGUUGACGGGUCAGCAUCAAUUUUGACCGUUGGAUAAAGG
rnacentral:rRNA from 1 species